UACGUAGGGUGCGAGCGUUAAUCGGAAUUACUGGGCGUAAAGGGUGCGCAGGCGGCGUCGCAAGUCAGGCGUGAAAUCCCCGGGCUUAACCUGGGAACUGCACUUGAAACUACGAUGCUGGAGUAUGGCAGAGGGAAGUGGAAUUCCACGUGUAGCGGUGAAAUGCGUAGAGAUGUGGAGGAACACCGAUGGCGAAGGCAGCCUCCUGGGCCAAUACUGACGCUCAUGCACGAAAGCGUGGGGAGCAAACAGG
rnacentral:rRNA from 1 species